UACGUAGGGUGCAAGCGUUGUCCGGAAUUAUUGGGCGUAAAGAGCUCGUAGGCGGUUUGUUGCGUCGGCUGUGAAAUCCCGAGGCUCAACCUCGGGUCUGCAGUCGAUACGAGCAAACUAGAGUGUUGCAGGGGAGACUGGAAUUCCUGGUGUAGCGGUGAAAUGCGCAGAUAUCAGGAGGAACACCGGUGGCGAAGGCGGGUCUCUGGGCAACAACUGACGCUGGAGGAAGCGAAAGCGUCGGGGAGCGAACAGG
rnacentral:rRNA from 1 species